UGAAAAAGGAGUCCUGAGAACAUG
rnacentral:piRNA from 1 species